GAUGAAGAACGCAGCGAAAUGCGAUACGUAGUGUGAAUUGCAGAAUUCUGUGAAUCAUCGAAUCUUUGAACGCACAUUGCACCUCUCGGUAUUCCGGGAGGUAUGCCUGUUCGAGCGUCAUUUGUACCCUCAAGCUCUGCUUGGUGUUGGGUGUUUGUUCCGCCUCUGUGUGUGAACUCGCCUCAAAACAAUUGGCAGCCGGCGUACUUGUUUCGGAGCGCAGCACAUUUUGCGAUCCAGAUCAACGUACAGCGGCAUCCAAGAAGCCUUAUUUAACGCUCUUGACCUCGGAUCAGGUAGGGAUACCCGCUGAACUUAAGCAUAUCAAUAAGCGGAGGA
rnacentral:misc_RNA from 1 species